AGUUGAGCUGGGGUUUUUUUGUUUGUUUUUUGUUUUUCCUGCCAAGUUCUCCCAACAGAAUGCACUGCACCUCCACACCGCACAGGCCCCAAGGGAAUGGGACAACUUAGUUAUGCUGGACCAUCUGAGAAUGUGAGCCCAAAUGACCCACUUCUCUCUCAGGUGUUUGGCUGGUGGAUUCUGGUAAGCACGCUCUAAGGAGGAUGGGGGCUCUGAGAGCUGGAAACGGCUUUUCUCCAGUUUCCACUAGAAGCAGCCUUGUCCUGAUGGUGGCUUGCAACAACCUUGGCCUGGACCCACUGAUGCUGAGCCACUCGGUUUGUGGUCCCUUCCUUCAGCUACCACAAGAAAUAGAUGUGCAACGACCAGAAGUGUGUAGACCACCAUCUUUCAGCUCCUAGAACUAAAGGAACAGGAGUUUGGGAGACAAAGUCAAUGUCUCGAGGCCUUAAAGCAAGUGACACAGACUGGAAAAAACCUCUGGGGUUGGGGGGAGGUGACCGUUGCAUCAGACUGCUAAGAUGAUCUGCCUGCCUGCAAAGGAGUGGAUGUUCAAGGUUACUUCUCUGUCCAUCCUUUUUCACUCAGCCUCAUCAGUCCCGGCCCUGACCUGGCUUCUUUCACAGGCAAUGGUAGUUACCCUGUACCCUGUGUUCCUGCCACGUGACACCAUGGUGGACUGUAUCCUGGAACUGUAAGCCAUGAGAAACACUUCCCUGAGUGGCUUUCAUCGGGUAUUUCACUGUGGCAAUGAGACAAGAAACUAACACAGACACGGGUGACAGAGCUGUACAGAGUGGCCUGGAGUGGCUGGCAUGGCCUUCAUGUUAGAGGGACGGAUGGGACAGAGACUCAGUAUGGCUUUUCAGGAUAGGCUGGAGUAAAUCACAGGCUCCACGAAGGAGGCGCCAAGGGGAGAAAGCAGCUGAGGAGGCACAGAAGGCAGAAACACGGCAGAAGGCACAAACUCUUCUACAUGUGCCUAGGCAUGAUCAAGAGACCACAGGGAGCAACACAUAGUAGGUGCUCAGGAAACCACAAUGACUUGGAAAUGUAAUCCUGUUAUUUAUAACUAUCACUUCAUAAACUAUGCACCACUGUCCCUACUGAUGUCUUCUUUUUUUCCCUGUUUUACUAAUCAGAAUUUCUCAUCCCUGACCCUCUCUCACAGAGGAGACUCUAUAUUUACAGAGACCUUCCAGGGAGAAUAUGACUGCCCCACCCUCUAUGCAAAGGAGCAAAAGAGGUGAAGUGUUUUGUCUGUGGUCACAUAGCUAGGGGAGGCAAGAUCUGAAUGGAGUACUGCGGAACAUUUUAGGCCUUGCUUUUUCUACCAGGGAUCUAGGCUGCUGAGUUGCUCAUGUGCCAACUCGACUCCUGCUGUCCCUUCAUGAUUCACAGCUGGCCCGCAGAAAUGAUUGGUCCAUGCCAGACCUGGCUAUUCCUAGCGGCCUCUUUGUCCAGCUCACUGUGUUCUAGAAUGAUGGCGAGACUUAGGUCAGGUGGCCGCCGUGGGCUCCGUGAGGGGCUCUAACAGGCCUAAGUAUGGCAGACAUAAUUCUGGCAGGUCUUGUCUUCCCCUAUUCCCUCUGCCUUGCUAAACCAUUAGAUUGCACUCCUAAAGCUAGCCCCCAAGGUCUAUUCCCUUGUUUGGCCACUUCCUCCUCCUGAGGCUGACCACUACAGUCUAGCUAUAAAAGCAUUGAAAUCCAGCAAUCAAAAGCCCCCUUUUGACUCAUCCAAUUAACCUGUCCAAUCAAAAUUAAACACCUCAUCUUAACACAGGGUUUCCCCUUUCCCUUUAUAAAUUGCCAUUUGUCCGUGGGCCAAAUCUGUUUCCUCACUACCCAAAGGCAGUCCCCUCCCCCUCUCCUUUGUUCCCUUCCCCUUCGCCCUCUAUCUCCUGUCUUUGUCUCUUAUUCCCUGCCCUUUGGUCCUCUCAGGCAAAUAAAUCUUUGUGC
ensembl:antisense Gm15082 predicted gene 15082